rnacentral:rRNA from 1 species
CCUACGGGGAGCAGCAGUGAGGAAUAUUUGACAAUGGCCGAGAGGCUGAACCAGCCAAGUCGCGUGAGGGAAGACGGCCCUACGGGUUGUAAACCUCUUUUGUCGGGGAGCAAAGCGAACCACGUGUGGUUCAUUGAGAGUACCCGAAGAAAAAGCAUCGGCUAACUCCGUGCCAGCAGCCGCGGUAAUACGGAGGAUGCGAGCGUUAUCCGGAUUUUUUGGGGUAAAGGGGUGCGCAGGCGGAGGUGCAAGUCAGCGGUAAAAUUGCGGGGCGCAACCCCGUACUGCCGUUGAAACUGCAUCCCUUGAGUGCGCGAGAAGUAUGCGGAAUGCGUGGUGUAGCGGUGAAAUGCAUAGAUAUCACGCAGAACUCCGAUUGCGAAGGCAGCAUACCGGCGCGCAACUGACGCUCAUGCACGAAAGCGUGGGUAUCGAACAGGAUUAGAUACCCGGGUAGUC